rnacentral:rRNA from 1 species
UGCGCAGGCGGCUUGGAAAGAAAGAUGUGAAAUCCCAGAGCUCAACUUGGGAACUGCGUUUGAAACUGCAAGACUAGAAUAUGUCAGAGGGGGGUAGAAUUCCACGUGUAGCAGUGAAAUGCGUAGAGAUGUGGAGGAAUACCAAUGGCGAAGGCAGCCCCCUGGGAUAAUAUUGACGCUCAUGCACGAAAGCGUGGGGAGCAAACAGGAUUAGAUACCCGCGUA